rnacentral:rRNA from 1 species
GUAGGGAAUAUUGCGCAAUGGGGGAAACCCUGACGCAGCGACGCCGCGUGAGUGAUGAAGGCCUUCGGGUUGUAAAGCUCUGUUCUGCAGGAACAAAAAAAUGAGUGUACUGCAGGAGAAAGGACCGGCUAACUUCGUGCCAGCAGCCGCGGUAAGACGAGGGGUCCAAACGUUGCUCGGAAUCAUUGGGCGUAAAGCGGGUGUCGGCGGCAUAGAAAGUCAGAAGUGAAAGUCCUGGGCUCAACCCAGGAAGUGCUUUUGAAACUUCUAAGCUUGAGUAUGGGAGAGGGAAGUAGAAUUCCUGGUGUAGUGGUGAAAUACGUAGAUAUCAGGAGGAAUACCGGAGGCGAAGGCGGCUUCCUGGCCCAAUACUGACGCUCAGACCCGAAAGCGUGGGUAGCAAACAGGAUUAGAAACCCUAGUAGUCC